GAGGAGUCUCACACUAGUUCUGGCUAAUCGAGGAAAUAUACCUAUGUUGGUCGCCUAUCUGUUAUCUUGCAUCUGCCAUGGAAGACGAAUUCAAUUCAUUCUUUAGUAUGCUCUUUCACUAUGGAUGAUCUAUUAACUGAACCUGGAAAACGAGAUUGAUAGCGAAACAAAGAUACAAGCCUAAGGCUUGGGGACCAACUC
rnacentral:misc_RNA from 1 species